rnacentral:SRP_RNA from 3 species
CUAGGGUUCCUUCGCAAUGAUAAUUUGUGAACUCGGCCAGGAUCGGGAGAUAGCAACCGUAGCGAAUGAUUCAUGUGCCGAAGUGCAGCUCUAGAGU